AUAGUAAUUUGAUACAGAAGAUGGAAACUGCUCACCAAAAAAGACAGAGAAGUUGAUGAUGGUGGUGAGGAAACAAGAAGAUCCUGGAUCUCUGACGUCCAUGGAACUUUCAUAACAUCGUUGCCACUGCUACUUCAAUGAUCCCUUUAUGUGAAAUAAAGUAAAUCACUAUCUUGAUAUUUCCAGUUAUCUUGGAUUUCUCAAAUUAUACGUCUUAAAUGACAAAGCAUCAGAAAGGUUAAGUUUGUGACAACAUUUUCAACAGAAAAGUUAGGAAUACACUGAAUUUUUAAACAAGAACGGAUAUUAUUAUCUCUGCUUGCAAUAUUAUAAAUGUCAUUCAGGGAGUUAAUUUUUAGAGACAAAUGAUAAAUAAUAAGUAGACGCACUUUAUAUAUGUUUUCAGAUUCUUUAACAAAAGCUGUUUUUCCUGUCUUUAGAUAAAAUUUGGCAAAAAAUACUUAUAAAGUAGUAAUAAAGAGGUAGUAGAUAAAACAUAGUAAAAGCAAAAUGAAUCAAUAACACAACAGCUCUUUUACUAUAGAAGAAUUUAAUAUUGUAGAUUAAUUGAUAUUGGUUGUUGCAUUAAACGAAAUCUAUUGAAGUCUACAUGGGUAUUUAAAUAUCAUAAUAUAUAUCACAUAUAUAUCUAUAAAGUUAUUUUAGAAUAUUUUCUGUCUACAAUGAGAAGACUAUUAGAGCUUAUACUAUGAAGUACUAAUAAGUGCAAAUGUUCAUUUGGAAUUAUUUCUUGUCCUUUAUAAAAACGGAAUUUGAUUUUGGCUAAUGUUGGUAUCUUCACUUUGGCAUCUACCUUAAAAAAUAGUUUAUUAUUACUACAAACCACAGUAAUAUAGUAUUAAAAUAUUUAUAAAAUAAAUGUUUUAUGAGUUUCUGCUAUUUGCCAGGCAUACAAAGUUAUAUGAAUCUUUCCAAAUACUGAUGGUAAGAAUUAUUAAUUUCAAUUAGCUUGCAUUUUAUGUUAAGAAAUUUUAAUAAAGGCAGAGUUACUUUUUCCAAGUUACAUAUCUCUUAUACCUAAAUGGAAAUUGCACUUUCUCUUCUCAAAUACCUGAAUCCAUUCUUUUAUGUUACAAUAUUAACAUUCAUUUAGAGGUUUAUUCUCAAGAACAAUGUAAUUUUCAUUGUGGAUUUUGGGAAUAAGGAAGGAGAGUAUGUUCAAUUAUAGUCUUUAAAUUCUGCUUUCUUUUCAGUCUAUCUACCUAUUAUCUAUCUAUCUAUCUAUCUAUCUAUCUAUCUAACAUCUCCUUCACUAAAAUUCACCAUUUUGCUAUACAAUUCUAUAAAUGUGGACAAAUACAUUAAAGAAUAUGUCUGUCAUAACAAUCAAGAUAUAGAACAGUUUAUUUAAAGAAAUUCACUUGUGUGGCCUCCCGCAUUCCCAACACAGACCACUACUGAUCUUCUUCAUAUAAAUGGAAUCAUUUAGUAUGUAGCCUUUGGGUCUGGAUUCUUUCAUGUAUAUUGUCUUUUAGGUUCGUCUAUGCUAUUAUAUAUACUAACACUAUGAUAGUUUUUUCCUUUUCAUAUUUCAUGAGUAUACCAGCGUUUGUUAUCUAAUUAUCAGUUGAAAGACUCUUUUUCCAAUUUUUGUCAAUUAUACAUUGAGCUACUGUGAAUAUUUGCAUAAAGUUUCUUGUGUCAACAAAAUUUUUCACAUUUUAAAUCAUAUGUUUGAUACCAGUUAAACUUUAUAAGAAAUUGUUCCCACUCUUUUCCCAGAUAACCGUACCAUUUUACAUUUCCACGAGAAUGAAUGAAAGUUUGGGUAACUCUGCAUCUGUCAGUACCUUAGUACUGUCUCUUUAAAAUUUUUUAAAUUCUGCUUUUUUAAAAACCACUUUCAAGUGAAAAUAAUAUAAUAUGAGAUUGGAAUGUAAUUUCUUCAAAUCUUAUCUCCACUGCAAACUAUUUGAUCAGGUGCAUGAACUUGAUUUUUUUUCUUAAAAAAGUAUUUAUUCUUACGUUACAUGACAGUAUCUUUUUAAACAUGGCAAGUUAAUUUUCUAAAAUCUUUUAAAAUUUAUGCUUACUGUACAUCUGAGGUUUUGAGUUCCCACUCUUUUAUGUCAUUAUAUAAUUGCCCAAUAAAUACAAGCCCUAUGUUAACAUUAAAAGUAGCAUACUUGUUGUUAUACAUGCAAACUGGGCAUUUGGCCUUAACACAUGGUGAUUUGAAGACAGGUAUAAAGAGAUUUUUAAAAAUGUGGUAAGACAUAUUACUGGGUUGAUCUCUGGUAAUCCUGUUACAUACAAGCAUAUGUAAUGUAAAUUUUAAUAUAUGCAAACAUACAUACAUGUAUAUACACAUUAAUAAAGGCAAAGUUACUUUCUCAAAGUAACUUUGGAAAUUUCACUUUGACAUACAUAUACGUGUAUAUACAGAUUUUUCCUUUUUAUUUCUGUGAGUUUUAAGAUGAUGAUGAUUAAUUUUUCAAAAGCUUUUUUUCAUUUAAAUUCAUUGAUCUUAUUGAUUUCCAUCAAAUAAUAUUGAGAAAGCACAUUGUGACGGUAAAUAUUGACUGUCAACUUGAUUGGACUGAAGGAAGCAAAGUGUUGUUCCUGGGCAUGUCUGUGAGGGUGUUGCCAAAGGAGAUUAACAUUUGAGUCAGUGGACUGGGAAAGGCAGACUCACCCUCAAUCUUGGUGGGCACAAUCCAAUCAGCUGCCAGCGUGGCUAGAAUAAAAGCAGGCAAAAGAACGUGGAAAUAUUAGACUGGCUUAGCCUCCAAGCCUAUAUCUUUCUUGUGUGCUGGAUGCUUCCUGCCCUCGAACAUCGGACUCCAAGUUCUUCAGCUUUGGGAAUCAGAAUGAAUUCCUUGCUCCUCAGUUUGCAGAUGGCCUAUUGUGAGACCUCACCUUGUGAUCAUGUGUGUUAAUACUCCUUAAUAAGCUCCCCUUUAUAUAUUCAUCUAUCCUAUUAAUUCUGUCCCUCUAGAGAACCCUGACUAAUGCACAUACUUAAUUAUGAAAGAAAUAAAAAAUUUACAAACUACAUAUUUUUAUUAAAAAUUAUACAUGCAUAUAUGCCUUAGAUCAUAUUAUAUAUUCGAUGUCCUAUUUAUAUGUAAUUGGGUCUUAUUCUACAAAGAGUUCUCUAAUAUGAAUAUUUAAAACACAUAGAUUGUGGAUUGGAAGACUCUCAAAAGCUAAUAGUGAUUAUCCACUAGCUGGUAGAUUUGUUGUUAAUUUAUCAUAUGAACUCCACUGUUUAAUAAUUAAAUAUAACUAAACCUUAUUUUAUUUACUCUUAAGGAAUUUUUUUAAAUUAGCAAUAAUUUUAUAGCAAUGAAAUUGCCUAGACACAAUGUGAAAACAAACAGCUAUAAGUAGGCAUAAAGUUAAACAUACAAAAUACUGUUGUAUUUUUAAAAAGUUACUGGUUAAUUUUAUGAUCCACUGCCACAUUUAUAGUUAUGCAAACUAACAGAAGAGCAUACAUAUAUCAUGCUUCACUAAUCAAAUAAUUAUUUAUGUAAAAUAAAAUAAUUACUUAUAAUUUUUAUAUUGCUUUUAUAGCAUUAUUUCUGCAAAUAUAAAAACAUUCUUAAUUAUUGGUACAAGUAAAACAAUUAUCUGUUCAGUUUUGCAAAACUACUUUAAAAUAUUUGUUUUUAAGAAAUUGUUUCACCAAAGUAAAUAAAUAUUUAUAAGGGAGGAAAAAUUACUUGGUACAAAACUAUUUUUCACUGUGACAUUCUUAUAAAUAAGCCUCAUGGCAUUACUUAAUGCUAUGAAUUUACUUCAUACAUUGGUUUAAUUUAAUUUAGUCAACUAAUUAUUUAAACCUAUCUUUGAACUUUUAAAGAGGCUCAAUUUUCCCUAUGCUUCUUCCCAAAUUUCUGUAUAGGAUCAUAGAAUUACACGGCAACCUAGAAUUAGCAGAAAAAAAGCAAGAUCUGUUUCUUUUUUUCACAUUCAUUUAUAAUUAAUCCCCACUAAACUGCUUUUAUUUCUCAGAAUCCCUGCACCAUUCUUUCACUAUGGUGUGCAUAUUAUUUCCUAAAUAAUUUUUAUAAAAAUGCCUGAAAUGUCACUUUUUAAGUUCUACUUUUGCUUUCUUAGGGUUUUAGUGAUAAAAAAGUAAAAAAAAAAAAAAAAAAAAAGGAAAAUCCCACUCGCUUUCCUACGAUGAAUCUGUUUUUUUCUCAUUUAGCAAAUACUACCUGAAGAACAACUCAUUUGGAUAUUUCUUUAUGUUGAGCUUGAUUAAACUUUCCAUCCUCAUUCAGUGCUGUAGGAUCAUGUUAAUUUUUGCUCAUUUGAGUCUCUUAUCCAAUCCAGUCAAAAAAAUCAGUACAGUAUUUCAUAGUGUCUGUUGUUGAGUAUUCUGAUCACAUUACUUACGGUAGAUAUUUACUACAUGCCAAAGACAAUGUUUCACAACUGCUCUUCAUUAUGGUUUUUGCCAAAUCUAUUACUAUAAAUCAUAUUUCAACAUAUGAUCCAAAGGAUCACAACUGUCUGCAUAAAAACUUAUAGAAACAGAUAUAAUCGAUCACCUCCUCUGUUGUUUCUACUAACCAGGUUUUGAAUAUUUAAGGGGGAAAAUUAAGUUGUAGCAAUUUCAAAGCUGUCAGAAGAAUCAAAUCUGGCCUAUGCAAAUAUAUUUUGUUAAAAUUAUGCUUAGAAAUACAAAAGCUGUAGCCUAAUAAUUUUAUGAACAGUUUGAAAAAAAGAAUCAUAUUAACUUAUUUAUUUUAUUACUUGUUGCAUUACUAGUAUGAGGCAUAUUGCCUGAGAAUAGUAGACACGCAAGAUAUAUUUGUUGAACUGAAAUAAAUUUAACUUUUAAAAAACAUAAUUAAUAAUAUUCCUCAAUACUCUAACAUAGUACUAUAUAUGUGUAUAUAUCAUUAUGUACUAGUAUAGUACUAGAAUUAAUAUACACAUUCCUUUGACAUACUUUUUCUUAUUCAUUGAUUUCAUUUUACAUACCUAUUUCAAUUAUUUCUAAAAAUUAUUUUCUGUAUUCUUCAAAUAUUUGCCCAGGUAGCUCAACAAAUUCCUGAAUUACAUUCUCAGAUUCUGAUUUAUUGGGUCUGGAGAGGUACAAGGAAGUAAAAUUUUAGCAAAGAUCUUUGGUGAUCCUAAUGAAAUCAAUAAUAAUACAAUCAAUAAUAUUUUACAAAACUACUUUAAAAUAUUUGUUUUUGAGAAUAUUGUUUCACCAAAGUAACAUAAAUAUUUUAAGAAAACAUUUAUGUGAAAUAUUUUUAAGAAAAAAUUCAAUAAUAUUUUGACAUGCUCAAUAAUAUUUUAAUGGGCUAAACAGAUAUCAAUAGAUUUUCAUAUUCUCCUAAUUCUUAUUUUGCAGGGGAAUUUGGUUUUCUUGCCUGUUAGAUACAAUAUGAGAAUUGAGUUUGCUAGAGUGCAUUCUCCAAGAUUACCUGUGACCCAGAAAGCUUACAGAACUUGGAUUAAAACCUUAAAAACCUACUAACACUUUACAUGCUGUUGCAGUACUUCAGUUGCAAUAGCUACUUAUUUUUCUAGACUCCUUUAUUCAUCUCUUCUUCCUUAUUUGCUGAGAUACAAGAAACUAAUAGAUUUGUUUGUGACCAAGAUGGUCUAUUCAUCUUCCUCACCUCUACUAAACUUUAGACAGGUUUCUCCCUGACUGUAGGUCCCUAACCUCCCUGUUCUUGGAGUGUUUAGUUUAGAAAACUUAGAAUUAUAAAUUCUCUCUCUGUCCUUUUGAGAUGUAAAUCUUCUCCCUGCCUCCUACAACCCAGGAAUAUCUGUUUCAAGAAACAGAGCCAUCUCUUUGAAAUAUAGUCAUCAAAGAACAGAGUGUCACCAUCUCCCAGUUUCUGUGAGAGGGUAGGGGCCUAAUGUCCACAGGCACCAAUUAGCACACACAAAUGGCCUCAUCACAUACACCAUGCUUCCCUAUAAUGUCCUUCAGUACUUUUCCACCGGCUCACUUUUCUUGCUUUUUGUUUCAACAGAGUUAAGUUCAGUCUGUCUUCCAUAUUGUAAUAGUCUUGAAUAAAGUCUUCCUUGUCUGUUUAUGUCCACUGCAAUUUUUCUUCAAUAUUAGUUUUUACCUCUUUUCUUUAAGAAGAGAAACUCUUAUAUUACCAAGAAGAACCUUAGCAAUUCAAAAACUUUCUAUUUGUAAUAUCAGAAAAAAACUUCAGCUCCAGGAUAUCUGACUAGUCAAUUGCUGCUUAAUUAUGUUUAUAAUUGCUAGUGAUUCCCUCAUUAUAAAUAGCAGUUGAUAUUGAUGUGUCACUUUAACUUAUCUUCAUAGUCUCAGGGAACCAUAAAAUCUCCACCAAAGGUCUCUUUCUACAUGCUCCAUAUUUGUAUUAACAUUGCUUCCUAAUUCAAAUAAAGACAUGUAAAAUAUGAAAUUAAUGGAAGCUUCUUUGGGAAAGUGAACAGUAACUAUUGCUCUUCAAAACUCUGUUUGUAGAUGCUCUUUCUAAGUUUGAUGGAUGGAAAUAAUUUAUCCAGAAAUAUCUUUAUACAUUAUUUUUGCAAUAUGAGUAUCUAAUUAAAGAACAAUGGUUAUGACAAAUAAAUGUAAAAGUUGAUUUAUUCUACCAAAGAAAUAUGUAUUUAACAUGGCCUAUUUUAAGAAAUCAUUAAUUGAAUACUUUGAAUUUUCUCUAGACUCCAUAAUAAUAUUCUAAAAAAGAAAACGAUCAUAAUGAAAAUCACUUAAAUAAAAAUAAUUUCUAAGUAUAAAUUAUAACAGUAUUGUUGAUGUAUUUGCAUAAUAUUCUAAUUGUUGCAAGACAGAAGCAGCC
rnacentral:lncRNA from 1 species